AAGUCCACAGAUCAAAAAGACAUUCCAGCACAUUCUUCUUCAGGCCUUUUCUCUGUGGCUCUCAUCAGUGUGAGAAUGACACAGCACUGCCUCCCUGCGAGGCAAAGAGUCAUUGCAUGCAGAUGCAAACUGUGCCAAGAAGACCGAGAGAACAGUGGGCACUGAGUUUUCACAAGGAAGGGAAUAGAGCAGCAUACUGAUAAUUACAGUAUGACAUACAUCGCAAAAUCUUCAUACUGACUGAAUCUGCAAACAUUCACUGACAAGGUGUCAGGAGAAAGUUUUUAACAUCUCCAAAACUGCACACUUAGAGGCUGCUCGUGUUCAUCAUCUUCAUGUUUGCAAAUAAAUUAGAUGUAGUAUCAUUA